CCCUUAGAUGUCCUGGGCUUCACGCGCGCUACACUGAUGUGUCCAGUAAGCACCUAACCUCUUCCGAAAGGAACGGGUAACCUUUGCAAAGCACAUCGUGAUGGGGAUAGAUUAUUGCAAUUAUUAGUCUUGAACGAGGAAUUCCUAGUAAGCACAAGUCAUCAGCUUGUGUUGAUUACGUCCCUGCCCUUUGUACACACCGCCCGUCGCUCCUACCGAUUGAAUGUUCCGGUGAGCUCUUCGGACUGCGCGGUCUGCAGUUUCUGCGUUCCGUGCGGAAAGUUGCGCAAACCUUAACAUUUAGAGGAAGGAGAAGUCGUAACA
rnacentral:rRNA from 1 species